rnacentral:rRNA from 1 species
UACAGAGGUCUCAAGCGUUGUUCGGAUUCAUUGGGCGUAAAGGGUGCGUAGGCGGCGCGGUAAGUCGGGUGUGAAAUCUCGGGGCUUAACUCCGAAACUGCAUUCGAUACUGCUGUGCUUGAGGACUGGAGAGGAGACUGGAAUUUACGGUGUAGCGGUGAAAUGCGUAGAUAUCGUAAGGAAGACCAGUGGCGAAGGCGGGUCUCUGGACAGUUCCUGACGCUGAGGCACGAAGGUCAGGGGAGCAAACGGGG